rnacentral:rRNA from 1 species
GGAGUUAGGAAAUGUAGGUGCGAUAAUACCGUGCUUAUUUGACAAAGGCUCCAAAGGAAGCCACGGCUAACUCUGUGCCAGCAGCCGCGGUAAUACAGAGGUGGCAAGCGUUGUUCGGAAUUAUUGGGCGUAAAGAGCACGUAGGUGGAUUUGUUAGUCAGAUGUGAAAGCCUUUCGUUCAACGGAAGAAUUGCAUCUGAAACUACAAACCUUGAGUAUAGGAGGGGAGAGUGGAACUUCUGGU